rnacentral:lncRNA from 1 species
UCGGCCCGCGCUGCCGCCGCUACGGGGGCCCGGAGGGGCCGCGCGCCCCCCGUCCCGGAGGCUCGCGCGGAGACCGCAGCCCUCGCCCGGAGCCGCCUCAGAUAACGCUGUUCAGAUCCUCCGACGGUGUAAAAGGCCUGUGGAGGUUAACGUGGAGACCAGAGAAGGUUUUUUCACAUAUUGAAGUGACUUUAUGGAUUUAUGUUACGCACCGUUCUAACUUGUCAACUGGACCAGAUCAUAAACCAGUCUUUUCACAAAAACUCUCCAGCCACUUUAUCUCCGACUGGGUGGUCCCCCAUGGUACUGAGCUGUUUGACAGCUUUCGGCAUCAGGCUAGCUGUUGUUUUCAUGUCAGACUGCAUCUUCCCAAGGUAAGAGUCA